AUUCCGUAGGUGAACCUGCGGAAGGAUCAUUAAAGUUAUAGUCCCCCGGCCCUCUGGGCUGGGGUCUUCUAUACCACCCUUUGUUUAUUACACCUUUGUUGCUUUGGCAGGCCUGCCCUCGGGCUGCUGGCUCCGGCCGGCUCGCGUCUGCCAGAGGACCUAAACUCUGCUUGUAUAUGAAGUCUGAGUACUAUAUAAUAGUUAAAACUUUCAACAACGGAUCUCUUGGUUCUG
rnacentral:misc_RNA from 1 species